AUGCUCAAGCUCAAGAUCUUAGGACUGGCGGCCAUUGAUCGUGCAAGGAAACGCCAAGCCUCCAGAAUUACGUGGCUGCGAGCUGGGGUCACGCCAACUGCUUUCUUCCAAGCAAAGAUCAAUGCUAGGAGACGGAAAGGUUUUAUACACUCACUGCAUGGACCGUCUGGUGUGGCUAUUAAGCAGGAGGAGAAAGAAAACUUGAUCUACGAUCAUUUCUCCUCCAUACCGGGCACGGCAGCACACCGCAACACCACCAUUGGCUGGCGCUCUCUCGCCAUGCCCAGGGUGCAAGGAGGGCUUGACAACCCUUUCAUAGAGGAGGAGGUA
rnacentral:rRNA from 1 species